UAAGCGGAGGAAAAGAAACUAACAAGGAUUCCCCUAGUAACGGCGAGUGAAGCGGGAUGAGCUCAAAUUUAAAAUCUGGCAGUCUAAGAUUGUCCGAGUUGUAGUCUAGAGAAGCGUUUUCCGCGUAGGCCUGUGUACAAGUCCCUUGGAAUAGGGCGUCAUAGAGGGUGAGAAUCCCGUCCUUGACACAGAUCAUCUAUGCUUUGCGAUGCGCUCUCGAAGAGUCGAGUUGUUUGGGAAUGCAGCUCAAAAUGGGUGGUAAAUUCCAUCUAAAGCUAAAUAUUGGCGAGAGACCGAUAGCGAACAAGUACCGUGAGGGAAAGAUGAAAAGCACUUUGGAAAGAGAGUUAAACAGUACGUGAAAUUGUUGAAAGGGAAACGAUUGAAGUCAGUCAUGUGGUUCGAGAUUCAGCCGGUUCUGCCGGUGUAUUUCUCGAGCUACAGGCCAGCAUCAGUUUCGACCGGUGGAAAAAGUUGGAGGGAACGUGGCAUCCUCGGAUGUGUUAUAGCCCUCUUUCAGAUGCAUCGGACGGGACUGAGGAACGCAGCGUGCCUUUAUGGUCGGUCUUCGGACACGAACGCGCUUAGGAUGCUGGCAUAAUGGCUUUAAACGACCCGUCUUGAAACACG
rnacentral:rRNA from 1 species